AACGAACGCUGGCGGCGUGCCUAACACAUGCAAGUCGAACGUGAAAAUCUUCGGAUGAGUAAAGUGGCAGACGGGUGAGUAACACGUGGGUAAUCUACCUCAGAGUCUGGGAUAACCUGCCGAAAGGCGGGCUAAUACCGGAUAUCCCAAAAGAAUUGUAAGUGAUUUUUUUGGAAAAGGGAGCUGGCAACAGCCCUUGCUUUGAGAGGAGCCUGCGCCUCAUUAGCUAGUUGGUAAGGUAAUGGCUUACCAAGGCUUCGAUGAGUAGCUGGUCUAAGAGGACGACCAGCCACACUGGAACUGAAACACGGUCCAGACUCCUACGGGAGGCAGCAGUGGGGAAUAUUGCGCAAUGGACGCAAGUCUGACGCAGCAACGCCGCGUGAGUGAAGAAGGCCUUCGGGUUGUAAAGCUCUGUCGGAAGGGAAGAAAAGUCUUGGAGUUAAUAGCUUCAGGAUUUGACGGUACCUUCAAAGGAAGCACCGGCUAACUCCGUGCCAGCAGCCGCGGUAAUACGGAGGGUGCAAGCGUUGUUCGGAAUUAUUGGGCGUAAAGGGGAGGUAGGUUGUCUUAUUUGUCUAAGGUGAAAUCCCUGGGCUCAACCCAGGACGUGCCUUAGAAACGGUAAGACUAGAGUCCUAGAGAGGGUCGCGGAAUUCCCGGUGUAGCGGUGAAAUGCGUAGAGAUCGGGAGGAACACCAGAAGCGAAGGCGGCGACCUGGACAGGUACUGACACUCAACUCCGAAAGCGUGGGGAGCAAACAGGAUUAGAUACCCUGGUAGUCCACGCUGUAAACGAUGGGCACUAGAUUUGGUGGGACUUGACCCCCGCUGAGUCGUAGCUAACGCGAUAAGUGCCCCGCCUGGGGAGUACGGUCGCAAGAUUAAAACUCAAAGGAAUUGACGGGGGCCCGCACAAGCGGUGGAUCAUGUGGUUUAAUUCGAAGCAACGCGAAGAACCUUACCUGGGUUUGACAUCUCCUGACAUCUCUAGAGAUAGAGCUUCUAAGUUUACUUAGCAGGAAGACAGGUGCUGCAUGGCUGUCGUCAGCUCGUGUGGUGACAUGUUGGGUUAAGUCCCGCAACGAGCGCAACCCUCGUCCUUAGUUGCCAGCAUUAAGUUGGGCACUUUAAGGAGACUGCCGUGGUUAACACGGAGGAAGGUGGGGAUGACGUCAAGUCCUCAUGGCCCUUAUGCCCAGGGCGACACACGUGAUACAAUGGCCGGUACAAAGAGUUGCAAAGCGGCAACGCCAAGCUAAUCUCAAAAAGCCGGUCUCAGUUCGGAUUGAAGUCUGCAAUUCGACUUCAUGAAGUUGGAAUCGCUAGUAAUCGCGGAUCAGCACGCCGCGGUGAAUACGUUCCCGGGCCU
rnacentral:rRNA from 1 species